rnacentral:rRNA from 1 species
CAAUAGCGUAUAUUAAAGUUGUUGCGGUUAAAAAGCUCGUAGUUGGAUUUCUGUUGAGGACGGCCGGUCCGCACUAUGUGCGUGUAUCUGGUUCGGCCUCGGCAUCCUCUCGAAAGCCGUUUCUGCGCUUGAUUGCGUGGUUCGGACUUCGGGACUUUUACUUUGAGGAAAUUAGAGUGUUCACGGCAGGCAAGCGCCUUGAAUAUAUUAGCAUGGAAUAAUAAUAUAGGAUCUUGGUCCUAUUUUGUUGGUUUCUAGGGCUAAGAUAAUGAUUAAUAGGGACAAUUGGGGGCAUUCGCAUUAACGCGUCAGAGGUGGAAUUCUUGGAUUGCGUUACGACGAACUACUGCGAAAGCAUUUGCCAAGGAUGUUUUCAUUG